AAUGAACGCUGGUGGCAGACCUAACACAUGCAAGUCGAACGGUCUAUAUUAAACUUCGGUUUUUUAUAGAUAGUGGCAAACGGGUGAGUAACGCGUGAGGAACCUGCCUCUUACAACGGGAUAGCCUCGGGAAACCGGGAUUAAUACCGUAUAAGACUCCGACACCUCCUGGUGAUGAAGUCAAAGCGUUAGCGGUAAGAGAUGGCCUCGCGUCUGAUUAGCUUGUUGGCGGGGUAACGGCCCACAAGGCGACGAUCAGUAACCGGCCUGAGAGGGUGAACGGUCACAUUGGAACUGAGACACGGUCCAAACUCCUACGGGGAGGCAGCAGUGGGGGAAUCUUGCACAAUGGGGGCAACCCUGAUGCAGCGACGCCGCGUGAGCGAUGAAGGUUUUCGAAUCGUAAAGCUCUGUCCUAUGGGAAGAUAAUGACGGUACCAUGGGAGGAAGCCCCGGCUAACUACGUGCCAGCAGCCGCGGUAAUU
rnacentral:rRNA from 1 species